GUUUGAUUUGGCAGGAUCUGUCUGGUAUCCACAAGUUGAAAUGGCAUGGCAUGAUUAUCAGCCAUAGGUUACUGAUAGGAUUGCAUACUUGUCACAUAGAGGCUUAUUCUAGAUGAGGUGAAUGCUGAAUCUGAUCUCUUUUGUAGAUUGAUGAUGAGACCUGUGCAAGAAAAAAAAUCUGCCACAUUGAGAAUAAUGUAGCAUGAUGUCUUCACUGUUAACCUUGAUCUUAUUUUUUUCUUUAUUUUGUCUUGCAAUUGAAUAUGAUGAUCAGUGUUAUUCCUGAUUGUCUUUUUUGGCCAAGAUCCUUAGUUGCAUGCCUCAACUCAAGAUGUGCUUGAAACUCCAAAAAUCUCUGUACCUGUGCUCGAAACUAAGAAUUUAUAAACUUCGUGAUCUGUAUGGCA
rnacentral:misc_RNA from 1 species